AGGAAGGGCUGUAAAAAUGACAGGGAAAGUUGCCCGAGCAGAAGAAUGGAUGCAGAGGCAUCGCCCUGCCGUUGUGGGCUUCCUGUCUGGAACAGUACGUCCUGACCGCUUGUCCUGCUGCGGGACCGGUAUGUGCCAGCAGGUCUGCUCAAGGCUGGGCUAGUUCUGUGUCUUAGAGCUAGCCUGUCCUGCAGUGUGCAGGGGUUUUUUCUGCUUGUGAAUUUUGUAUCGUAGAAUAUUCUGAAUUGGAAGGGACCCGUAAGUAUAAUUGAGUUCAACUCCUGGCCCUGCACAGGACAACUCCCAAGAAUUCCACCACGUGCCUGAGAGUGUUGUCCAAACUCUGGCAGACCUGGUGCUGUGACCACUUCCCUAGGGAGCAUAUCCCAGUGCCCCACCAGCCUCUGGGGGAAGAAACUUUUGCUAAUAUCCAAACCUUUGGGCUGCUGCUGCACACUUCCCUGCUCCCACAUUGUCAUGUCCAUGCUUUAAACAGAGCUCAUCGGUCAAUAUCCAUUUGAGGACAGAGCCUAUGAUAAGCAUCGAUCACUGUGGCUGUGGCAAUGCUGAGAAGAUGGGCCUUUCUUGGUGAGGAUUGCAGCCUUCAGGUGUGACUGGAGAACUGCAGCAGCAGUGGGAUCUGUGAUACAGCUGGAGGGGUCUGCCAGUGCCACAAGAAGUUCAUUGGACAGGACUGGAGUGAAAAUCAAUGUCCUGGGGAUUGCAGUAGCAAGGGGUUCUGUGACACUGGAGUGUGCUGCUGUUAUGAUGGCUUCCUUGGCCUCAGCUGCUCCCGGGGAGAGCAAGGACCUACCACAAUGUCUGGAAGUUCACAACAUGGGACAGAGAUAAAUGAUGUGGCUCUCAGCAGCUGUGCCGUGAUGCACCACGGUGCAUGGUGGUAUAAGAACUGCCACCUGGCCAACCUCAAUGGGAAGCACGGGGAGAGCAAUCACAGUGAGGGUGUGAGCUGGGAGUCAUGGAAAGACAUGAAUUCUCCAUCCCUUUUACAGAGAUGAAGAUUCGUCCUCAGUCUUCCAGUAAUGAACCAGUUCUGAGGAGGAGGAGGAAGAAGUCUUUAUCAGAGAAGAGGAUUAUUCUCUGGAGGAUUCUCUUAGGAUUAUCAGAGAAUAGAACUCUCUGUGGAACAAUACCCAAACAUAAUGAUUCAGUAUUUCUUAACACUUUUAUUCAGACAGCUUUCUCCAGUACAAAGGAGACAAUAGCUGACCAAUGUGCAUCCAGGAACAUCUGGAUCUACAGGCCAGCCUGCUACCAGCCUUUAGAGCUCCUGGUGGGUGAUAUUCCAGGGACUAGGAGGGGCUUGUGGGGGCAUCCUGCUUAUAGAUAGUCUGGUUGGCUAUGCAUGAGAAAAACCUGCUUGAUCCAAUACAUACAGCUUCUAUGAACUUUAUGUAAAACAAAUGUUAACAUAUGUUGUUCUUUCUGAAACCUGGGCUGUAGACUUCUCUUAAUUCUGUCCUUCUCUGGUGACAUCCACUUCAGACUUCCAAAAAUAAGUUUGAACCCACUAACAAAUAGUAGCCCCCUAAUUUAGAUCAAAACGAACUUUUCUGAGACUGUCAUCUCUCCCUGUUUUGGUCUGCAGUUCUCCUCAUUAUUUGGACAUAUUCCCUAUUCUUCCUGCCAAACUGGGGUUUGGGAAAUGCUGCCAGUCUGCUGACAAGGCUCAUUAACCCAUGUGUGUUCUGAAGACUGGGUUCCUCAACCUCCAGUAUCACAUCUCUGCAGGUUAAAAUCUGGCUAUUUUGCUUGUUUCAUGUUUCCCAGACCAGAGAAAAACAUAAGAUGUGCAAUAGAUUGAUGUUCACACUCCAGGGUGAGGCCCAGAACAGGGUGAAUGUAAGGUCCACUGUCAUCCAGGCUCUGCUCACCAUCCCAGACCUGCCUCCCUGUAUUGCUUCCUUACAGACAAUUAACCAAACUCCCUUUGUGACUGUUUGUAAGAGUCGGUCUGAAGUUUUCUCUGAUCUGCCUCACAACCAUCAUCAGAGACUGGGACCUGAGAUUGCACCACUUGCCCUGAACUGAGCUCGGGCCUUGCUUGUGGGUCAAGGACUGUUUGUAGCUGUGCCUGGUGCUUGUCAUGGCACACUGCAGGGUACUGGUUAUCGCACCCUGUCCCCGCACCUGUGUCAUGGAGCUACGAUCUCCACAUACAAUAGUACAUAAAUCUCCCCACCUUUUGGCCAGAGGCCACUUGCUUUGGAAAAGGACUAUAAAAAGUGACUUUCUUAAAGGAGAUUUGAGAUCUCUUUCUCCCCAACGGAUUGAAGAUGCGUCUCGUCUCGUCGGACAACCACAAGGAUGCGUCCCGUCUGUUGGUAGCUAUAUCCCAUCCUUAUCUCUCUUACCCUCUCCCUACUUAAUUUCCUUUUAUCUCUCUCUCUCUCUCUCAAAACUUAAUUAUUAGCAUGCAAUAAACUGCAUUAUUGCUUUCUGCUAAACAAACCUGAGUCUCUUGCUUUUGUCUUUUGCACCCUGGGGUCGAACGAACCAUCACAACUCCCGCUCAGGUUGAGCGGAUCAUGACACUGUUCCAUCUGCUGCCUUCUGCUUUUUCAUCAGCAGUGUGGCAGGUAGUGUUGUUGAAAUGGUAACACUUGUCAUCCACCUCUAAAAUGAACGUCUCUUGGAGUUAAAGUGAUCCUGUGUGCCCUAGUGUAUGGUUUCACAUUUGACUGCUUUUUAUUUCUAUUUUUUUUCUUUUUUUCUUUCUUUUUUUUUUUUCUCACAGCCAUGAAGGUGAGGUUUAUUUUCUUUCCAGCUAGGGAAAAGUAUGAGCUAAACAAAUACUGCUUGCUCAAAGUCUUUCUUGUCUGACCACACUGGGACAUGGUUAUCCCAUGUCUUACUGGCCUUUUCUAUCACAGUACUAAACUGAGUAAUACAUUUUAAAGAGUCCUUCCCAGACUCUGGAGAAAGUAAUAAAAUCACAAAUUAAGGAGGUCCUAAAAUAUUUCAGUCUUCUUUGCGUGGGUGGUAGAAUUAUUUUUCUUCCUAUUUAAGCAUUUUGCACAAAGUGGAAGCAUUACCCAGGCCUGGAGUGGGACUGUGCAGAUUAGUUCUUUGGAGUCUGCUCCAAAACAGGGAUGGGGACUGUGCUCUCUUUGUGCCUUAACUCUGUGAAACACUUAUCUGAUCUGUGCUUGCUAGGACCUGGCUGACAAGAGCCAGCUAGAGGGCUGUCUCUCAAAGGUGAGGACUAAAUUGUUCAUCAUACUUUCAGGGCUGUGCCUCUUUUGUGGGCAGGUGGGCAGAGACUCAUCUGAGCUGCAUUAAGAUAUCCAAGCCCUGGUUUGGGGGUAGGAGGAGACUAAUGAUGAGAGUAGUAGAAAGGAAAAUGGUACUUGAAGUGUUUUGCAGGCUCUGUGCUAAGAGUAUGAGAGAAGGACAUGGGAAAGCAAU